rnacentral:misc_RNA from 1 species
AAAAUCCAAGUGAAUUGGGUCGUAAGAUGCCUCUUCACUAACUGGCCUUUGGGCCUUUAACCUUUGUGAACUGUAAUUGACUCUGGUCAGAUGCAUUUGCGCUGGCCAGUUAAUUCUUAAACAUUGUUUCCUUAGUCUUAUUCAAAGAUGUAAAUCUUUA